UAGAUACCCUAUUAUAAAAAUUUAAAUUAAUUUACUAAAAAAUUAAUAGUUAAGUUCUUUAAAUUUAAAAAAUUUGGCGGUAUUUUAGUCUUAUUAGAGGAACCUGUUUAUUAAUUGAUAAUCCACGAUUAAUUUUACUUAUUUUAAUUAAUUCAUAUAUCGCUGUCAUGAAUAUAUUAAAAAAUUUAUUUUCUUUUUUUAUUUUUAUAAUUUAUGUUAAGUCAAGAUGUGGUUUAUAAAUAAGAAUAUAAUGGGUUACAAUAAAUUUUAUUUUUGAAUUUUAAAUGAAAGUUAAAAUGAAAUUGGAUUUAAUAGUAAAUUUAUUUAUUUAAU
rnacentral:rRNA from 1 species